rnacentral:rRNA from 1 species
GACGAACGCUGGCGGCGUGCCUAAUACAUGCAAGUCGAACGAGAGCGACCGGUGCUUGCACUGGUCAAUCUAGUGGCGAACGGGUGAGUAACACGUGGGUAACCUGCCCAUCAGAGGGGGAUAACAUCCGGAAACGGAUGCUAAAACCGCAUAGGUCUUCGAACCGCAUGGUUUGAAGAGGAAAAGAGGCGCAAGCUUCUGCUGACGGAUGGACCCGCGGUGCAUUAGCUAGUUGGUGAGGUAACGGCUCACCAAGGCCGUGAUGCAUAGCCGACCUGAGAGGGUGAUCGGCCACAUUGGGACUGAGACACGGCCCAAACCCCUACGGGAGGCAGCAGUAGGGAAUCUUCCGCAAUGGACGCAAGUCUGACGGAGCAACGCCGCGUGAGUGAAGAAGGUGUUCGGAUCGUAAAACUCUGUUGUUAGAGAAGAACAAGUGCUAGAGUAACUGUUAGCGCCUUGACGGUAUCUAACCAGAAAGCCACGGCUAACUACGUG